AAGGGAGACCUAAUUCGGGUAUAAGACGAAAAAAGAGUAGUCGAAACCAAGAAUCAAUCCCAAAAGGUCGGAACGAGGUAUGUGGCUUUCAAACUAGGUUCUGGGUUCACACAAGACCUGAAUCAGGAACAAGGGCUAUUAGCUCAGGUGGUUAGAGCGCACCCCUGAUAAGGGUGAGGUCCCUGGUUCGAGUCCAGGGUGGCCCACCUGCACAGGUGGCAAAAACAAAGAAGCGAGGAAUCAGCACCUUAUCUUAUCUAUAUAUAAGAGAGAAUGCUGGCUCUGAGUAAAGAGUCCAGAGGAACCUUGAAAACUGCAUAGAGCUAGGUGAAAAAGCCAAAAAAGAAGACCGCAA
rnacentral:tRNA from 1 species